rnacentral:rRNA from 1 species
UACGUAGGGUGCGAGCGUUGUCCGGAAUUACUGGGCGUAAAGAGCUCGUAGGUGGUUUGUCGCGUUGUUCGUGAAAACCGGGGGCUUAACCCUCGGCGUGCGGGCGAUACGGGCAGACUUGAGUACUGCAGGGGAGACUGGAAUUCCUGGUGUAGCGGUGAAAUGCGCAGAUAUCAGGAGGAACACCGGUGGCGAAGGCGGGUCUCUGGGCCGAUGCUGACGCUGAGGUGCGAGAGCGUGGGGAGCGAACCGG